AGCGAACGCUGGCGGCAGGCUUAACACAUGCAAGUCGAGCGGGCGUAGCAAUACGUCAGCGGCAGACGGGUGAGUAACGCGUGGGAACGUACCUUUUGGUUCGGAACAACACAGGGAAACUUGUGCUAAUACCGGAUAAGCCCUUACGGGGAAAGAUUUAUCGCCGAAAGAUCGGCCCGCGUCUGAUUAGCUAGUUGGUGAGGUAAUGGCUCACCAAGGCGACGAUCAGUAGCUGGUCUGAGAGGAUGAUCAGCCACAUUGGGACUGAGACACGGCCCAAACUCCUACGGGAGGCAGCAGUGGGGAAUAUUGGACAAUGGGGGCAACCCUGAUCCAGCCAUGCCGCGUGAGUGAUGAAGGCCCUAGGGUUGUAAAGCUCUUUUGUGCGGGAAGAUAAUGACGGUACCGCAAGAAUAAGCCCCGGCUAACUUCGUGCCAGCAGCCGCGGUAAUACGAAGGGGGCUAGCGUUGCUCGGAAUCACUGGGCGUAAAGGGUGCGUAGGCGGGUUUUUAAGUCAGGGGUGAAAUCCUGGAGCUCAACUCCAGAACUGCCUUUGAUACUGAAGAUCUUGAGUCCGGGAGAGGUGAGUGGAACUGCGAGUGUAGAGGUGAAAUUCGUAGAUAUUCGCAAGAACACCAGUGGCGAAGGCGGCUCACUGGCCCGGUACUGACGCUGAGGCACGAAAGCGUGGGGAGCAAACAGG
rnacentral:rRNA from 1 species